rnacentral:rRNA from 1 species
GUAAAGUACUUUCAGCAGUGAGGAAGGUGGAUAUGUUAAUAGCAUAUUCAUUUGACGUUAGCUGCAGAAGAAAGCACCGGCUAACUCCGUGCCAGCAGCCGCGGUAAUACGGAGGGUGCGAGCGUUAAUCGGAAUUACUGGGCGUAAAGCGCAUGCAGGUGGUUUGUUAAGUUCAGAUGUGAAAGACCCGGGGCGUCAACCUCGGAAUUGCAUUUGAAACUAGGCAAACUAGAGUACUGUAGAGGGGGGUAGGAAGUUUCAGGUGUAGCGGUGAAAUGCGUAGAGAUCUGAAGGAAUACCGGUGGCGAAGGCGGCCCCCUCGGACAGAUACUGACACUCAGAUGCGAAAGCGUGGGGAGCAAACAGGAUUAGAUACCCUGGUAG